UAUUGACUCAAUGAUCUAUAUAUCAACUACCAACAACAAUAUUAUUAUUUUGAAACCCACAAUACACAUUUUAGAAUCAAAAUAACAAAAUUCUUUGUUAACAUUUUGAAAUCCUAAGUCCCAAAAGAUAAGGAAUAUGCACGAAAAUGGAGGUUACGGCUAAGCAUAUUUCAAACAACUUCUAUGUCUUUACAUACCAUCCUUGUCUUAUUAUAUUUAAACUUUAAAUGUAGGUUAACUGUUUGGCGAGGAACCACCAAGGAGACUUAUGUUUUCUAUGACGAUCUUGAGUCAAUAAUUCAAGACAACUCCAUAACAAACAAUGUCAUAGAUGCAUAUGUAGAAAUUUUAAGAAGAAAGCAGGAAUCAAUGAUGACAGAUUCACAACAAUUUGACAAAUCAUUCUUUUUCAACAGCUUGUGUUUGAGCAUGAUUAAAGAUGAAAAAUUAGAACUCCAAGCCAAAUUCAUUGAUCCUCACAUCAAGCAAGCAAAUCAGUACCGAUAUCUGCACUUUCCACUCCACUUUAAGUAUCAUUGGACCAUAGUAGUGAGCGACAUGGAUGAUGGAGUGUGGAAGCACUACAAUUCAAUGAGGCCCAGAGAUGGUUUUGAAGACAUACACCUAGCUCAAGCAAACAUAGUGAUAAUUUCAAUAUUUCAUUCAAUAAUAUGAAAAAAUGUACAUCUUGAGUUACAUAUCAACGUAGUUAAAAUAUUAUCUAUUCUACACAUUUAAUCAUAUUCACAAUCGCAGAAGACAUAUAUCGAAUCACAUAUUCAGAAAUUGCUCUCCACAUCGGAUAUGGCAGAUACAUUAACACCCUCAGAUUAUGUCAAGCCAUUGCAAUCAGUUGAUGCAUGCUCUCAACAAGACCCAAAUUCUCUUAAUUACGGAGUUGCACUUUGUUACAUAAUGAGGCAACAUGCCCUUCAUGAACCAAUUGAACUUGUGCUGGACAAGGAAGCUUGGCUUGCUAUGAGAGUUCUAUUAGUUGAAGCAUUCCUGAAUGAUCCUGAAAGAACAAAUCAUCCAAGUUUUGUUGUUGACACCAACGAGGAUGCAUCUCAGAACUAGACUUCAUAUUUUCACACCCUACCAUUUUCUUUUGAUGUAUUGAUGAAACAAUGUUAACAUUAGCUUUUGUCCAAGUACAAUAUGUUUUGUAUAUAAUAUACCACUCACUAACAUGUGAACUUGGGUAUUGUUAGUUAGUAAACAAUCAUUACACAAAGAUGUUGAUAUGAAUAGCUAUAUACAUUUUGUUUACCAAGAAAUGUA